rnacentral:lncRNA from 1 species
ACUGCCCUGAGGAUGUUAACUCUGCUCACCACCCUUCUCCUGUUGGCCCUGCACAUGCAGGCAGGUUCUCCCCAAGGAAGUACUGAGGAGGCUCCAGACCAGGAAUAGUUGAUCAAGGAGGACCAGGAUAUUUCCACAUCAUUUGGAGGGGAUAAAUGCAGUACUCUCCAAGAUGCAGAUAUGAAGUCAGACUGGAUCUGUGAUUGUAGACUCACAGACUGUGGUUUUGGAGAACGGUUUUCUGGGGCCAGCACUUACCAGGGCCACACCUUCCAACCCUGUUGCUGC